CUGAGUUCUAAACUCCAACCCUAUGUGAACUUACCACUGUUGCCUCGGCGCUGUGCCUGCGAGAGCAGGCCCGCCGGUGGACCACUAAACUCUGUUAUACCUACUGUAUCUCUGAAUUUAUAACUGAAAUACGUUA
rnacentral:misc_RNA from 1 species